rnacentral:rRNA from 1 species
AGAGUUUGAUCCUGGCUGAGAGUGAACGCUGGCGGCGUGCUUAACACAUGCAAGUCGAACGAGAACGGGUAUUAGCUUGCUAAUACUGUCAGCUAAGUGGCGCACGGGUGAGUAAUAUAUAGGUAACGUGCCUUCGAGAAGGGGAUAACAAUUGGAAACGAUUGCUAAUACCCUAUAUGCCUUUAAGUCCUAAGACUGCAAGGGAAAUAUUUAUAGCUCGAAGAUCGGCCUGUACAGUAUCAGUUAGUUGGUGAGGUAAUGGCUCACCAAGACAAUGACGCUUAACUGGUUUGAGAGGAUGAUCAGUCACACUGGAACUGAGACACGGUCCAGACUCCUACGGGAGGCAGCAGUGGGGAAUAUUGCACAAUGGAGGAAACUCUGAUGCAGCAACGCCGCGUGGAGGAUGACACAUUUCGGUGCGUAAACUCCUUUUAUAUAGGAAGAUAAUGACGGUACUAUAUGAAUAAGCACCGGCUAACUCCGUGCCAGCAGCCGCGGUAAUACGGAGGGUGCAAGCGUUACUCGGAAUCACUGGGCGUAAAGAGCGUGUAGGCGGAUAGUUAAGUUUGAAGUGAAAUCCUAUGGCUCAACCAUAGAACUGCUUUGAAAACUGAUUAUCUAGAAUAUGGGAGAGGUAGAUGGAAUUUCUGGUGUAGGGGUAAAAUCCGUAGAGAUCAGAAGGAAUACCGAUUGCGAAGGCGAUCUACUGGAACAUUAUUGA